AGAGCGAACGCUGGCGGCAUGCUUAACACAUGCAAGUCGCACGGUUCGGGGGCAACCCCGGGCAGUGGCGGACGGGUGAGGAACGCGUAGGAAUAUGUCCUGGGAUGGGGGAUAACCGUGGGAAACUACGGCUAAUACCGCAUGCGGCCUGAGGGCCAAAGGUCGAAAGGCCGUCUUGGGAGGAGCCUGCGUCCGAUUAGCUUGUUGGUGGGGUAACGGCCUACCAAGGCUGCGAUCGGUAGCUGGUCUGAGAGGAUGAUCAGCCACACUGGGACUGAGACACGGCCCAGACUCCCACGGGAGGCAGCAGUGGGAAUAUUGGACAAUGGGCGCAAGCCUGAUCCAGCAAUGCCGCGUGGGUGAAGAAGGUCUUCGGAUUGUAAAGCCCUUUCGGCGGGACGAUGAUGACGGUACCCGCAGAAGAAGCCCCGGCUAACUUCGUGCCAGCAGCCGC
rnacentral:rRNA from 1 species